GUGGAUAUAGCUCAGUGGUAGAGCAUGUGUUUGGCAUGCACAAGGUCCUGGGUUCAAUCCCCAGUGCCUAUG
rnacentral:tRNA from 1 species